CCUACGGGGGGCAGCAGUGGGGGAUAUUGCACAAUGGGGGGAACCCUGAUGCAGCGACGCCGCGUGGGUGAAGAAGCGCCUCGGCGCGUAAAGCCCUGUCAGCAGGGAAGAAAAUGACGGUACCUGAAGAAGAAGCCCCGGCUAACUACGUGCCAGCAGCCGCGGUAAUACGUAGGGGGCAAGCGUUAACCGGAUUUACUGGGUGGAAAGGGGGCGCAGACGGCGAUGCAAGCCAGGAGUGAAAGCCCGGGGCCCAAACCCGGGACUGCUCUUGGAACUGCGUGGCUGGAGUGCAGGAGGGGCAGGCGGAAUUCCGGGUGUAGCGGUGAAAUGCGUAGAUAUCAGGAGGAACACCGGUGGCGAAGGCGGCCUGCUGGACUGCAACUGACGUUGAGGCCCGAAAGCGUGGGGAGCAAACAGGAUUAGAUACCCUAGUAGU
rnacentral:rRNA from 1 species